rnacentral:lncRNA from 1 species
AAUCUUCAUCGACCGUGAGGUCUCAGAAAACACCCCUAAAACCUCGAAAACAAACUUCAUCCAAGACAACGAAGUACAUAGAAACAUAGCCGGAUCGUCGUCGAGGCUCUGAUACCAUGUAAACAUUCAUAUUAGACCGAGAAAUCAUAGAAAAUCUAGAGAGAGAAAGUAGAAAGAAGGCAGAGCAUUUUGGAAUUCUCUGGAAGAUGAGAGAAGUAUAUUAUAGAAAAUGAAAUGAAAGAA